AAAUCUAAAAAGAGCCUCUCACCUGAGGCCUUCACCUGAGAGCUGGAGCCUGUGCGAUGGAUUAUCUGGACAGGGACCCCAAUGAACAGGUGGAAAAGUACAUUUAUCUGCCUAAGGCUUGGAAUGAAAAUUGGGGGUGGGGUGGGUAGAGGCAGAUUUUACUCUUCUUCAGAUUCUUUUCUCUGUCUCCCAGUGGGCACAGGCUGAGCCUUGCGGGGAUAGAAGAGAGAUAGAGAGGUUAGGCCCUGGUUCUCUGUGUAGGGUGGUAUGCAUGUGUGUGUGGAGGGAUAUGGGUGUGAGUGUGCUGUGUAUAUGUGUGGAAAGCGUGUGUGUAGGUGUGUUAGAAGCGUGUGUGGGUGAAUAUGUGUGUGGGGUGGUGGGGAGUGUGUGUGUGGGGGUGAAUAUGUGUGUGUGGGGUGGUGGGGAGUGUGUGUAUGGGUGUGUGUGGGGGAAUGUGGGUGUGUGGAUGUGUGUGUGGGUAGGGAGUGUGUGUGUAUGGGGUUGUGUAUAUGUGGGGGAAAUGUGUGUAUGGGUGUGUGGGUAUGUAUGUGUUUACGGUGAAUAUGUGUGUGAGGAGAGUAAGUGCAUGUAUGAGUAUGUGUGUCUGUAUGUGGGUAUAUGUGUGGGGUAUGUGUGUGUGGGGUUUGUGUUUUGGGGGGGUGUAUGUGGGUGUGUAUAUGUGGGUAUGUAUGUGGGGUGUGUGGGUGUGUAUGUGUCGGGGGGAAGUAUGUGGGUACGUGUGGGGGGAUGUAUGUGCGUAUGUGUGUGGGGUGUGUGGAUGUGGGUGUGUGUGUCUGUGGGUGUGUGUAUAUGUGGGUAUGUGUGUGGGGUGUGUGUGGGAAGUGUGUGUAUGUAUGUAAGGUGUAUGUGGGUGUGGGUGUAUUUGGAUGUGUAUGUGUGUGGGGUUUUGGAUGUGUAUGGGUGUGGGGGGAGUAUGUGCAUGUGGAGGGGUGUGUGUGUGGUGUGCAUAUAUGUGUUGGGGAAGUAUGUAUAUGUAUGUGUUUAUGUGGGUAUGUAUGUGUGGGGAGUUAUACGUGUGUGUGGAGGGGUGUAUGUGGGUGUGUAUAUGUGUGUAUGGGAGAAGUAUAUGUGGGUGUGUAUGUAAGUCGGGUAUGUGUGGGGAGUGUGUGUAUGUAUGUGGGGGUAUAUGUGUGUGUGGUGUGUAUGUAUGUUGGUGGGUGUGUAUGUGUAUGGAGUGUAUAUGUGGGUGUGUAUGUGUGUGGGGUAUGUGUAUGUGUGUGGGGAAAGUGUGGAUGUGACUGUGGGUGUGUAUGUGUGUGUAGGGGGAGUGUGUGUAUGAUGUGUGUGUGGCUGUGUGUGUGUAUGGGGGAAGUAUGUGUUUAUGUGGGUGUGUAUGUGAGUGGAGUGUGUAGGGAGUGUGUGUAUGUAUGUGGGGUGUGUGUAUGUGGGUGUGUAUGUGUGUAUCUGUGGGUGUUUAUGUUUGUGGGGUGUGUGUAUAUGUGGGUAUGUGUGUGUGUGUGUGUCUGUGGGUGUUUAUGUGUGUGGGGUGUGUAUGUGUGGGGGUGUAUGUGGGGGGACCUGUGGGUGUGUGGGUGGUGUCAGGGGAGCCUGGAUGGAGCCCCAGGACAGCCUGCUGAGGGUGGAAGCCUGGAUGGCAGAUGCUCAGGUCUGACUGCUGGGCUGCAGGGAAGAAAGAAAUGCCAAGCUGAACUCGCAGGUAGGGAGGAGGAGAGGUGGGACAGUGACAGGUCACUAAAGAAAAAGCAUUCUGAGAAAAGCCUGUGCUCCUUACGGUAUGCUGCAGGGGCUGAGCCUGCGUCCCUGCUGACACCCUCUGGGAACCCCCAUCGCAAGCCUCACCUUGUUGCUUCUCACUGGGGCCGUUUUCGGUUGGCGCUGCUUCUCUUUGUUCUGUUGUCCCCCAGUGCAGUGAACCCUUACAUUAUGGGUUUCUCUUGUAGUUCUAACCUCUAAUACUCAACCAUUACAUCUUAUCUCGUCUUCUAAAUUACUCUAAAAUCCAAUUAUAAAACCCUCUCUCCUUCAAGAGCACACAACUUGCCACAUUACUGAAAUGCUGGGCUGCUCUUUUGUUUUUCUAAAUUAAUAAUAACUAUACCAUUUUCCGUCUGCUCUUACCAUGGGACUCUUUUAUAUCACCACAUAAAAUGCAUAUUAUGAUUCUUUUUGCUUCUUUUCUGGGCUGC
rnacentral:lncRNA from 1 species